rnacentral:rRNA from 1 species
GACGUAGGGCGCGAGCGUUGUCCGGAUUUAUUGGGCGUAAAGAGCUCGUAGGCGGUCUGUUACGUCUGCUGUGAAAACCCUGGGCUUAACCCUGGGCUUGCAGUGGAUACGGGCAGACUAGAGGCAGGUAGGGGAGAAUGGAAUUCCCGGUGUAGCGGUGAAAUGCGCAGAUAUCGGGAGGAACACCAAUAGCGAAGGCAGCUCGCUGGGACGGUACUGACGCUAAGGCGCGAAAGCGUGGGGAGCGAACAGG